GCCCCCGUUGCGUAAUGGAUAGCGCAACAGCCUCCGGAGCUGUUGGUCCAGGUUCAAUUCCUGGCGGGGGUACCA
rnacentral:tRNA from 1 species